CUACGGGAGGCAGCAGUAAGGAAUAUUGGUCAAUGGACGCAAGUCUGGACCAGCCAUGCCGCGUGAAGGAUGAAGGUCCUCUGGAUUGUAAACUUCUUUUAUCUGGGACGAAAAAAGGGAAUUCUUUCUCACUUGACGGUACCAGAGGAAUAAGCACCGGCUAACUCCGUGCCAGCAGCCGCGGUAAUACGGAGGGUGCAAGCGUUAUCCGGAUUCGCUGGGUUUAAAGGGAGCGUAGGUGGGCUUGUAAGUCAGUGGUGAAAUCUCCGAGCUUAACUCGGAAACUGCCAUUGAUACUAUAGGUCUUGAAUUAUCUGGAGGUAAGCGGAAUAUGUCAUGUAGCGGUGAAAUGCUUAGAUAUGACAUAGAACACCGAUAGCGAAGGCAGCUUACUACGGAUAUAUUGACACUGAGGCUCGAAAGCGUGGGGAUCAAACAGGAUUAGAAACCCGAGUAGUCCG
rnacentral:rRNA from 1 species